rnacentral:rRNA from 1 species
CCUACGGGAGGCAGCAGUGAGGAAUAUUGGUCAAUGGACGCAAGUCUGAACCAGCCAUGCCGCGUGAAGGAUGAAGGUCCUCUGGAUUGUAAACUUCUUUUAUAGAAGAAGAAACCCCGGUAUUCUUACCGGGUUGACGGUACUCUAUGAAUAAGCACCGGCUAACUCCGUGCCAGCAGCCGCGGUAAUACGGAGGGUGCAAGCGUUAUCCGGAUUCACUGGGUUUAAAGGGAGCGUAGGUGGGUCGGUAAGUCAGUGGUGAAAUCCCCGAGCUUAACUUGGGAACUGCCAUUGAUACUAUCGAUCUUGAAUUCUGUGGAGGUAAGCGGAAUAUAUCAUGUAGCGGUGAAAUGCUUAGAUAUGAUAUAGAACACCGAUAGCGAAGGCAGCUUACUACGCAGAUAUUGACACUGAGGCUCGAAAGCGUGGGGAUCAAACAGGAUUAGAUACCCUAGUAGUC